rnacentral:rRNA from 1 species
GAUGAACGCUAGCGGCAGGCCUAACACAUGCAAGUCGAGGGGUAACAGAGAGAGCUUGCUCUUUGCUGACGACCGGCGCACGGGUGCGUAACGCGUAUGCAAUCUGCCUUGUACUGAGGGAUAGCCCGAAGAAAUUUGGAUUAAUACCUCAUAGUAUUAUUGAAUCGCAUGGUUUAAUAAUUAAAGGUUACGGUACAAGAUGAGCAUGCGUCCUAUUAGCUAGAUGGUAAGGUAACGGCUUACCAUGGCUACGAUAGGUAGGGGUCCUGAGAGGGAGAUCCCCCACACUGGUACUGAGACACGGACCAGACUCCUACGGGAGGCAGCAGUGAGGAAUAUUGGACAAUGGGCGCAAGCCUGAUCCAGCCAUGCCGCGUGCAGGAAGACGGCCCCUAUGGGUUUGUAAAAACUGCUUUUGUACGGGAAGAAACCUACCCUCGUGAGGGUAGCUGACGGUACCGUAAGAAUAAGCACCGGCUAACUCCGUG